GGAGAGACAUCCACUCCUUCACAAGUAUUCAGAAGUCUCUUUUCUCCAAACUUGAAUUGAAGGCCUGCUCAUUAACUUCAUCUUCUCAGCUGGGUAUGCAUUUUUAGGUCAGCUUUUGUUUCAUUAUUUGCCCUAAUCUACUCUUGAAAAGAGAUUAAAGUUUACAAUUUCAUAAUUGAGUUUGAGAUUAAGGCGUACAAAUUAUUGUUGUAUUCUUAUAUAUAUUCAAAUUUUGGCGCAAGUGGAAGAGGCGUUGUCCAUGGUUUACAUAUACAGAUCCCCGAUCAUGUUUGUGGGAUGUGGUUAGUUCUACACACGGAAAAUUCAGUUUAGUUUUUUCUCCCAAUUUUUUCUCUUGGUUCUGUCAUAUUUUUUCAAUUUUAUGAGUUAAGUUCAAGUCUGCUAUAGUAAUUGUUCUGCCUUAACUCUCUCUAUGUUCUUCCACAUUCAUUUUCAUUUUUGGAUCCAACGAAGACCUCAAAAUUUAUGUCGGUAUUUUCCUUCAUUGAAUUACUUUUUUUUAUCUUCUUCUCAUUGUGUAGAUGCCCUUUGAAUCUUGAACUUUCUUCUAGGAAAAAGUGUUUGAUUGGUAGUAGUGAUGGACUACUCUUUCUUUUUUUAUCUUUAUCGCAUAAAGAUAGACUGCUCCCUUCUCCGGUAUCAGAAAGAACUUGGACACUCUACAAGACAAAUUCAAGUGCAGUGGCAGAUUUUCUUGCCUCUUUUCUAACAAUCGCAAUAGGUACUAUCAUGCUUUCAUUUCAAAAUUAGCUUUAAUGUUGGAAAUUCGAGUAUCCUGAAUAACAAUUGAUAGUUUUUACUGAACGGCUCUAAAUGUCUAUAUACCUAGCUUACUAAUUGUCUUCAAGUUUGAUGUAAAGACUAAAGACUGACUGAACAGUACAGUGAAGGAUGUUUGCUUAAAGAAAUGAAUAAUAGACCUAUUUUCUAGAGGGAAGUGUCGAUACAUAUACGGGUUAAUUAAGAUUGCGGCUCUAUUGACUAACUUUGAUUCUUGAAUCUAAACUUAGUGCAACAUUCUAAUAAAGAUACUCCUUUGAUGAUGAAUGAAGAAUGACAAUGAUAUUUCUAUAUAGGCUAAUAUCGCACUCUAACUUAUCACCAUUUUCUAACAUACAGAGACUUUUUUUGUCUAUUGAAUUUGUUUUCUCCACUGUUUUUAAAUCAGUCUCUUAUGUCUUUCAUGCUAGCUACUAAGAGAGAACCAUGUAGCUAUUGUUGACUAAUACUGAUUCUCUGCUUAUCUUCUACUACUACUAAUCAUGAUAAAAAAAAUGUAGUUUGGUGUACACAUUAGGUGUCGGUAACUUUUUUCCUUCAAACUAUUCCAGCGAAGAAGGCAAGUGUUAGAGCAACAGUAAAAUUGUCUCUAUCUGACCUAUGGUCACUGGUUCAAGUCAUGGGAUCAACCAUUUAUUCUUGUGUCAAGGUAGGUUGCCUACAUCCCGCCAACAUUAUAUUCCAUAGAGCUUGUGUGCACUUACCAAACUACCAUGCCCCUCCGUCCACAACAAUUAGCACACACACCUAAUAACAAGGACAUCACAGUAAAAUUACUUUGUUAUCGUAAUCGAAUAGACCCCAUGAAAUAUAGCUAGACUGAUUAUUUUUUUCUUUAACUUCUUUAAUAACAAUUAAGAUUCUACUUGACUAAUAGUAUAUGGGCUUCCUCUGUUCUCUUUUCCAUCAUAAAAUUUUAUUUUUUCAUGUUGCUUCUAAAUUAAAACUUGUAUCCUUUUAAUUCUAAUCUUUUAUCCUUUUAGGUGAACCAAGAAAAUAAAAAAUGUUGGAUGCAUAAAAAUAUAAGCUAUAAUUAAUCUCUCUUUUUCGAAGACAAACGCCCUAAGCUCUAAAUUUUGGGGGACCUAAUAUUUUUAUCAAGAAGAAGAUAUAUGAUGUGCACGUUAGAGGGAUAGUUUAUUGUCUAGCUAUUGAAAAGUAAUACCACAACCAGGUAGUCAUUAUGGAGUAUUUCAAACUGUGUCCAAGGGAAAAAAACAUAAGCACAUGAGAGGUUCACAAGAAGAAGGAAAUAGUCCAGGUUCGUGUCAUUUCUUAUUUUGCUAUGACACAAAUAAUGAUUACCCUGACAUGUAUACAUGUAGCUAUUUUUUUCGCUCAAAUAGUUGUUUUGUUCUAUGGCUUAGCCAUGAAAUACUGUUAUUUGGGUGCUUUAAAGAUCAUAGUUCGUCUUCACGAGCUCACUUGAAUGUUUGAAGAAUUUCAUACUAUUUGGAGUGGUGAGGAAACAUAUUCCUUAGCUAGAUUGUGUUAUUACCAGGAUAACAAAUAUCUUAUUGAUUUGGUUAUCGGUUUGAGGUGUUAACAAACUGAUAAACCGAAUCAGUAAUUCACAAAACGGAUCGAACCGAUCGAUAAGCACCCCUAUUAAGUCCAUGGAAUUAACAACUUAACAUAGUGGUAGGUUUAAAGAAGCCAAGUACCUGCUUUUGACAGAAGAUUUCUUUAGGAGGAAUUUAGUUGUCUUUUAAAUGCUUGGCCAGAUUUUUUUUUUGCUUUGGAAUUAGCUAAUUUUGAGUUUUUCUUUUACACUUUCUAUUAUAAUCCUUUUCCUUUGUGGUAUGUGUAAUUGCAGGUUCAACUUAAAAGCUAAGUUGGACAAACAUCUCAAUCUUGAAUAUUCAUCUUCUGCAAUCAUUUUGUGCCUCACUUCGGAGUGUACCUUAAUUUUUUCUCCAUUCUUGCACCAGACUGUUCUAUUAUUUAUGGUGAGUUUCGUUUGAAUUUUGUUUCCUCUUUUGUGUUUGUAUUGUAUCGACUAAUAUGCACAUGUAGAGCUAUUUCUUCUUAUCUCUUGCUCCGAUCUUUUGUAGUUCAUGUGAAUUUAGUUCAUUGUGGGAUGAAUUGAACUUCAAUCUCUGAAAAUAAGUGUUAUCUAUCUUCUUAUAUUUCAAUACUCUAUUUUAGUUGUUGUUUUCCUUUUUGGUAUGUGUAUGUGUUCGUUAAUAAAAGUUUUUGUUUGUUCUUUCUUAAAAAUAUAAGAAGCUAUUUUCAUAUGUCGCAAAAUUAAAUAACAUAGUGCUUUUGGAAGGUUCAAAUUCCAGUGGAGCUAGAUCAAAACACUAUAGGUAUUUUUUUCCCUAUUUGCUUAAAGUUGGUGAGUAGAGUUACCAGAUACUUAUAUUGCUUCAUUGUCUAGGUUAGUGUAAGGUGGCUUGGACACUGCAAUUGGACAACCCUAUGAAUAUUCGAUCAUAUCUUCUAACUCCCCAACCAUUCAAAUUUCUCCCAAGAAUAAUAUUACGUCAGUUAUUGCUUUAUAUACUUUGAUAGACAAUAUUUUCCUUCAUGUUGAACUGCUCCAAUGGAUCUAAAAUUCAAAUGACAAGCAAAACAAGUUUUUCACAAACUACAGGACUAAAAU
rnacentral:lncRNA from 1 species